GCCAGGUAUAGUGGCGUAUGCCUGUAAUCCCAGCUACUCAGGAGGCUGAGGCAGGAGAAUCACUUGAAUCUGGGAGGCAGAGGAUGCAGUGAGCUGAGAUCAUGCCACUGAACUCCAGCCUGGGUGACAGAGUGAGACUCUGUCUCAA
ensembl:misc_RNA Metazoa_SRP Metazoan signal recognition particle RNA